AGGAAGGUGGGGAUGACGUCAAAUCAGCACGGCCCUUACGUCCGGGGCUACACACGUGUUACAAUGGGGGGUACAGAGGGCCGCUACCACGCGAGUGGAUGCCAAUCCCCAAAACCUCUCUCAGUUCGGACUGGAGUCUGCAACCCGACUCCACGAAGCUGGAUUCGCUAGUAAUCGCGCAUCAGCCACGGCGCGGUGAAUACGUUCCCGGGCCUUGUACACACCGCCCGUCAAGCCAUGGGAGCCGGGGGUACCUGAAGUGCGUAACCGCGAGGAGCGCCCUAGGGUAAAACUGGUGACUGGGGCUAAGUCGUAACAAGGUAGCCGUACCGGAAGGUGCGGCUGGAACACCUCCUUUCUGGAG
rnacentral:rRNA from 1 species